rnacentral:lncRNA from 1 species
GGAUCGAUGAUGAGUCCUCCAAAAAAAACAUUCCUUGGAAAAGCUGAACAAAAUGAGUGAAAACUCAUACCGUCAUUCUCAUCGGAACUGAGGUCCAGCACAUUGCUUCCUCUGGGGCCUUUACUAGUGAGGGACAACUUCCACUAGUCCCUAUAGGUUCUAACACCCAUGGCGUUCACAGGUGAAGGUCUCCUGUCAUAUUACAAACAUUCCCCCCACUCCCCUCCCAAAAAAAGGAACAUUUCCUCUGUGUCAGGUACACAGGUCAGAGAGUCAUAGGGUGACUGGCUGCUCUGUGAUGGCAUAGUGGCCGUGGAAGUGGAUGGAAAUGUCGCAGGCUUAGGGGAGUGUGGGGCUGGCCUCGGCUUGGUGAGCUCCCAGGAAGGGGGACCUGGAAAUCGCUGCGGGCAUCCUUGCAUAGAGGACCAGCAGCAGUUGUCAUGAGAGGUCUGCCGCUUGCUGGCAAGGAAGAUGGUCAAUUCUUCUGACCAACAGAGGCUGCCUUGAGUCCUGAUUUGGUGUGGCCUGGCAUCUAUGGUGCACCCAAUGCUGGGGCAGUUGCCGUGGGAGGCCUGCCGUCUGCUGAAAGGAAGAUGGUUGAUGCUUCUGAGCAAUGAAGGCCCCAUGGAGUCCUGGAUUCGGUGUGGCCUUGCAUCCGUGGUGCACCCCGUGCUGGUGGAUGGCUCAGGACGGGGCAGUUGCCAUGGGAGGCGCAGGCCUGCUGGAAGGAAGAUGGUCGAUUCUCCCAAGCAACAAAGGCCACGUAGAGUCCUGGUUUCAGUGUGGCCUGGUAUCCACAGUGCACCCCGUGCUGGUGGGUGGCUCAGGACGCACACUCAUUUCCUCUGCACCUUCCUGGUGUCAUUGGCAUGGAAGGAAGGCCCUUGUCCAAGAAGGAUGGUCUUCGUCUUGUGUGAUCUUUGAGAUGCCAUGAGGCCCCUGGAUACAAAUGGUGUGGGCUCCUUUGGAGGCUUUUGGAUUUCUCCUGAAUGUGGCGUUGGUAUGGAAGGAAGGCCAGUGACCGCAAGGGAUGACUUUGAUCUUGGGAGAUUUUUGGAGAUGGCAAAGUGCUUCUAAACAUGUUUGGCAUGGUCUCCUUCAGGCUGGUGGAUACCUCAGGAUGGUGGCGUUGGCAUGGAAGGAAGGACUGUGUCUGUGAGGGAUGAUCAUCCUCUCAUGUGAUCCUUGGAGAUGCCAGGAAGCCCCUUGACACAUGUGGCAUGGGCUCCUUCAGAGGCUUUUGGAUCCGUCGUGAAUGAUGUGGUCCUCUUUGGGCAAAUGCAAGCGUCUGGGCUUUUUGGACUUCUGUAGCUGAGAGACAGCUUGGUUGAAGGAAUUUCCUCUGAGAAGGUGGGGUGGCAUGGGCAUGCAAAGAAAGACAGAGGCUGCAAGGGAUAAACUUCAUCUUGGGAGAUCCCUGGAGAUGGCAGGGAACCCAUGGACACAUGUGGCAUGGGCUCCUUUGGGUGCCGGUGGAUCCCUUCAUACGGUAGUGUUGGUGUAAAAGGCAAACCCGUGUCAUGAGGGAUGGUCAUCAUCUUGUGUGAUCCUUGGAGAUGGCAGGAAGCCCUGGACAUACAUGGUGUGGGGGCUCCUCCAGAGGCUGUUGGGAUCCUCCUGGAUGUGGUGUGGGCAUGGAAGGAAGGCCAGUGGAGACAAUGGAUGAUCUUGUUCUUAGCAGAUCACUGGAUGUGGCAGGGAGUCCUAGGACAUGUGUGGUGUGGGCUUCUUCAGGUGCUGGUGGUGUUGGCAUGAGGAAAGGAGGUAUCUUCGAGGGACAAUCUUCUUCUUGUGCGAUCCUUGGAGAUGCCAUGAGGCCCCUGGACACAUGUGGUGUGGGCUCCUUUGGAGGCUGUUGUAUCCCUUCUGAAUGUGGCGUGGGCAUAGAAGGAAGGCCAGUGGCCACGAGGGACAAUCUUGGUCUUGGGAGAUCCUGGAAAUGAUAGGGAGUCCCUUGAUAUGUGUGGCAUGGGCUCCUUCAGGUGCUAGUGGAUUCCUUAGGAUGGUGGUGUUGGCAUGAAAGGCAGGCUUGUAUCAUGAGGAAUGAUUGUCAUCUUGUCUGAUUCUUGGAGAUGGCAGGAAGCCCCUGGAAACACAUGGUGUGGACUCUUUCACAGGCUGUUGAAACCCUCCUGAAUGUGAGGCCAGAGACAGGCAGACAGCAGAUGUAUUGCAGGGAGCUGGAUGACAUGGCCCUUGGAACCUGUGCACAUGCCUGCCUUUCUGAUGCACGUCCAUGUUUUCUCUGCACCUCCCCGGUGGUGUUGGUAUAAAAAGCAGGCUUACAUCAGCAAGGGAUGAUUGUCGUCUCAUGCGAUCCUGGGAGAUGGCAGAAGUCCCGGGACACAUGGAGUGUGGGCUCUUUCGGAGGCUGUUGGAUCCCUCCUGAAUGUGUUGUGGCCAUGGAAGUAAGGCCAGUGGCUACGAGGGACAGUCUUCAUCUUGGGAGAUCCCUAGAGAGGGCAGGGAGCCCCUUGACAUGUGGAAUGUGAUCUCUGUUGGGUGCUGGUGGAUCCCACAGGUGGUCUGGCAUGGAAGAAGGCCAGAGGCUGCGAUGGAUCAUCUUUGUCUUGGGAGAUUCCUGGAGAUGGUGGGGAGCCCCUGGGCACGUGCAGCAUAUGUGGCGUGGGCUUCUUCAGGUGCUGGUGGAUCCCUCAGGAUGCUUUUCAAGGUUUUUCUAUGAGUUCUGUUAAAGAGUCUGAAAAUGGAGCGUAGAAGACAUGCUUCGAUUUCCAGGAUGGUUGUGUUUUCCAGAGAGGCGGAGGUAAACCACUGGCGCAGCCCUGCCUCCCACAGAUAAUUCCGGGUGCAGUGUUUCAUAUCUAGACUUGGACUUCUAUCCUACCAUACUUCUUUGUGUGCAGUUCAUUGUGGAACCAGCACAGAUUUUCAUACGAAAGUUAUUUCUUUUUAACCUCAAAAAGUGACAGAAUGGAGUGUAUCAUGAAAAAGUCUGACAUCAAAACCUCAAAAUGUGAUAUUGAUUGGGUGAGAUAGAAUUCCAUGGAAUUUCAUUGCCAAACCAGUGAAGUGCUAAUUUUGACAUUUGUACCAGCUAACGUAGCUGUGAAGAAACACACCAAUACACUUCUAAGGACAGCAUAGACCAAGAUCUAGGUUUCAUAUGGAUGAAUUUAUUCUUCCCUUUGAGGCAAGACAAGAAGGAAAGAAAGUAUUGGGAAUAAUGCUGCCCUCCCAUCCUCAAGGGCCAGUGGGAACUCUAAUAUUGAUUGGGUGAGAUACAAUUCCAUGGAAUUUUACCACUGAACCAGUGGAGGGCUAAUUUUGUCAUUUGUACCAGUUAACUAACUUGGGAGGAAACAGAACAACACACUCCUGAGAUUGGUUUUCACAGAAUUCCAUGGACUUUAACUGCUGAACCAAUGAUGCACUGAUUUUGUCACUUGUACCAGCUAACGCAUCUGGGAGGCAACAAAACAAUACUCUCCUGAGGUUAAUGUGGACCAAAAACUAGAUUUCAUAUAAAAGAGUUUAUUCCUUCUACUUGAGGUGUGACAUGAAGGAAAGUAAUGGAAAUAAUUCUGCCCUCCCAUUCUCAAGGGCCAGGGGGAAUUCAAAUAUUGAACGGAAGUGAUUUUGGAAUUGCAUGGAAUUCUCACUGCCAUCCCAAAGAAAUGCUGAUCUUGUCACUCUUACCUGUUUCAUUCCCUGGGGGCAGAACAAAAGGACGCACUCCAAAGAUCGGCAUGAACCAAGAACUGGGUUUCAUAUAAAAUAUUUUAUUCUGUCCUCUUGAGAUGUGACAUGAGAAAAGUAUUGAGAAUACUUCUAUCACCUCAUCUUCAAGAAUCCGUAGGAAUUCUCCCAUGGUGGACUUUACGGUUAACCUGAACAGGUCUUGGAAAAAGGACUUUAAACAUUCUCCUGUUCUGUGGAAUAAGUAUACUUUUUUCUGGACAUACACCUUGUCAGUGAGUUCCAUGUGAUACUAGAGUUGCAUAGAUUUUUAACCUUUACGCCAAUGAAGAUCUGAGGCAAACAUUGCCCCUUUUUUAGAAGUUUGCAUUUGUCACUGAUAACUGUAAUAAUUGAUCUUGUUGAAAAGCCUGGGAAAUGAAGAUCUGAUAUGUCACUUUUACCGGCUUCCUCAACUGAAAAAGAAUACAAUGAAACACGCUGAGAAUUUUUGUGCUUUCUCAGUCUUGCUGAUGAUCUUUCUAUGGGCCUGAAGCGUGGAGAGUGCCAGAGAGGCUGAUCCUCAGCAGUGUGGCAGAGGAAAGUUGGGUGCGACUAAGGGGUAUGCGGUGCCCACAUGCCACUGGGUCCUCAGCAGUACCACCUGAUUGGAAGUGAUAUUGGUGGAAGACAACAUUUUGCCGCUUGGAAUUCUCACCUCCACACCAAAGAAGUACUGUUUUUGUCAUUUGCACCAGCUUCUUUCUCCAGGAAAGAUCAAAACGAUGCACUGCAAGUGUGAUUGGUCCAGAUAGCUGCCUUAUCCAACUGCCUCCUUUGGACCACUUCAUCAUGGGACAGCUUGAUGCAAUCUACUUGACAAGACCCUGGAACCCCACACCCCUCAUGGAACCAGUGUCCACCUCCCAGUCACAGUGUGACCCCAGGGAACUCUUGCCUGCUUGCUUUAAACCCACCACUUAAAAGUCUCCACAGAAAACCUGUUUGAAUAGUACCCUUGACCCAAUAAGGGCAUUGGCCCCUGGGUGUCUCUCUCUCUCUCUCUCUCUCUCUCUCCCUCUCUCUCCCUCUCUCUCUCUCGCUCCCUGACCUCUGCGUGUGGACUCCAGGCAUGCCAUAUACCCCUCAGGACCUGAAGCAAAAGAAUGAAUUAAAGAAAACUCCAGAGAAUGAGCUGACAACCUACUCCCUGGUCAGUGGCUCUCCAUGCCUACCUGUGGUCUCUUGGACACCCUUGCAGAAGAUGACUUCCUGGGAACUCUUCUGGGAGUGAAUGUUAUCAGCAAAUUCCCAAAACAACACCCCUUAGACAAAAAGCCUCCUCACCUAUGCAUUGCCUAGACCACCCACUAAAGGUGAUGGCCACAAAGAGGUGGAUUUGUUGAGUUGGUGCCAUUCCUUCUACUGCCAGCUUCACCAAAACAAUGACACAGUCUUCCUUCCGCAUGGAGACUCUUCUCUUUCCUGUGUUGCAGUGGAUGCCUCCUGCAGAUAAGAAAUGCUUAACUGAGAAAUGCUCAUGUUGGGAUAUCAUCGAUGAGACUUUAAUUUGGGCAUGGUGACUGUUUCCCUUGCUGCCACUUGACUCAAUCCCAGGAGCCUCAGUAGAGGAUAUAAUAUUACACAAGAUGCUCAAAAUGGUGGAAUUGCUCAGUGCUCCCAUAAAUAUACAUUUAUAAUUUUCAUUUGCCACAUGGUAAACUGAAAAAUACAGACUAUAUUAAAAAGAAACUGCAUGAUUUUUUUUCAAAAAUUCAAAGCAUAUUUAAAUAAUAUAUAAAUUAAAUGCCCUCCUCUCUUCCAAUUCUGUCCCUAUAGUUUUCCUCUAUUAAGUGAACUACAUGCAUUCUUUUAGUGGAUAGAUGCACACAAACACACAAGCCAUUAUGGGGAAGGAUCCACGUGUGUGGCCAUAUUGUAACACAUUUUUCUGCAAAUCACCUCUUUCAUUUAACAGCCCUUAUUCAAUGGCCUUUUUCUUUUUCAGUAGUACAUACACAUCUGUGUCAUUUGUUGAAUGACGACAUGAAUGUUUUGUAGAUAAAAUAUAAUUAAAUGUUUUAAGCAUUUCUCACUCAUAGAUAUUUAUGUUAGCACCAAAUUUCUGUGCAAUGAACCUCCCUAUAUAUCAGUAAUUUUGCAUUUGUCUAUAAUAUCAUAAUAAAUUACUUAUCAGUUGAAUUACUGGGAUUAAGUAUGUGCACACUUUAUAUUUAUAUUUUGAAAAUUAUUGCAAGAUUGCCUUCAAAAAUGUGGUUAACAACUUUAUCUUCAAAUGGCAAUGAAUGAGAUUGCCAGCUUUCCUACAGCCUCACAGACAAUGGAUUUUAUAAAUAUUUAACAUUUUUGCCAAUGUGAUCACCCAAACUAUUGUCUUAAAUUGUAUCUCUUUUGUUUUUGAGUUUGGUCAUUUUUUCAUGUUUAUUAGCCAUCUGUAUUUUUUAAUUUCUUCUUUAUGUCCAAUUUUGUGGGUGGGAGGAGGAUUUAGUCUCUUCCUGAUUUCGAAGAGCUCAUUUACUAUUUCGGGAAAUAAGAUUUGGAUUGUCAACCAUUAUAGCUAUUUUUUACACACUUUUCAACUUUGUUUUUGUUAUAAGAAUGUGUAUGAUUGUUACAUGUCCAAGUAUAACCAUGUUCGCUUUUAUGGCUUCUGAGUUUCAUGUCAUUUUUGGAAAGAUAUAUAUAUUGAGUCCAUAAAACCCUUCACCUAUGUUAAAUUCUAAUUCUUUUGUGUUUUUUUAAUUCAAAUUCUUAAAUCAUGAGAAAUUUUUUUGUUUUGAAAUCUUAAAGUUGCCAAGUUACUUGCCAUUACUUGCGAUUAUUUGCCAAUAAUUGCCCAUUUAUCUGUACCGCCAUCUUGCGCAUAUGCUGUACUCUCAUCUGUGACUGGCUCCAUUUUUGUUCUGUGGAUUUGUGUGUCUCUUCUUCUGCCUCCUGUCUCGUGUCUGCUCGUUGGAAGAAAUUACAGUUUAGACUGCAAUUUCAUCAACUUUAAUAAAUCAAUUGAGGGGAGAAUUGGUUUUUAAAAAUAUUAAGUAAGUCUUCGUAUCCAAGGACAAGGUAUGUCUUUUCUUAUUCAAUAAUUUUAAUUACUGUUAAUAUUUUCACUGUGGUGAUGGGAGUUUUUCUUUUAAUUUAUUUUCUUGUUCAUUUUUUGUAUCUAAAGUUUUUGUUUUGUUUUGUUUUGGGGGUAAGUUGUCACCUUACUGUUUCUUGUUGCUUUUCAGAUUUUUUCAAAGUAUAGACUAAAUCCUUCACAAAUAUUUAAAGUUUUUAUUUUCCCCCUUCAUAUUGAUCCUGAUUUUAGUUAUGUUGACAAAGUCCACAGACUGUUACUAUCAGAACACUUGAACAGUUAUGGAAAUAUUACCUACCCUUGAUUUAAUCAGAGUUUAAUGGUAUGCUUCUUUGGUUUGACUGGCACAUUGUCGCUGGUCAUUUCCUCCCAAAGACCACCAGAAAGAGCUAUGAUCAAGCAAAGCUGAGUUUGUUAAACUUACCUGCAGCAAGGGAAAACACCACCUUGAUAGGGUUUAAUAAUGUUUCAAAAUCAAGAAAUGAGGCUUUGGGGUCUGGGCAGGGAACUAAUUAGAAAUGGGCAAAAUUUGUCAUGCAAUACCUUGUGGGAAAGUGAGAUGAGGUUCUUAAUGUGAGUAUUGAUGGUGAAAUCAUUUUCUAGGUGAGCUGUUUGCCUAUAUAAAGAUGUUAUCAAUGACAGAAGAACUAUUUGCCUAGAUAAACAAACUGAAUUUAUUUAUUGGUUUACAGUUUUAUCUUGCUGGGCAGGACUCUGCUGGGGGUGGUAUCAGGUCUUAUUCCCAAUAGGUAAGUUAUUUGGAUAUGGGUGGUCUUAAUCAUCAAUGUGUAAAAUGCUGAUUUUAAGUGCGAAAUACUUUGUCUACCAUGUUAGGAAAGUCUGCCACCUUUUAUCUUUUUUAAGGAAUUUUAAUCAAAACCAGGUGGUAGAUAUAAUCAAAUUGUUUUGCAGAAUCAAUUUUCCUGUUCUCUUUAAAGACUUUUAUCACUGUGAAUUAAUUUACUAUUAUUGCAACUUCCUUUAAUUCCUUGAAUGAACAGACCCUACUGGUUUUAAAAAUGUUUUAUUCUUUUAAUUUACUACUUAAUUGUGGGUAUUUUAAUUUGAUUUGGAAUUUUUACAAGUAUACAACUAAGUGAAAUUGAUCUGUGAUUUUUCUUUUUUGUGCUAUUUUUGUCAUGUUUUGAUAUCAGAUAUUCUGGUUGUGUUAAAAUAAUUUUGAGGAUUUUCUUCUUAUACUGUGUUCUAGAGUGGGUAAAAAAGCCCUAGUCUCACUAUCAGUGUUUAAGUGAACACAUCAGUGACAUCAUCUGGACUCUCCUUUGUUUUUGCUGGUUUGGAGUUAGGACAUCUAGAAGUUUUUUUCUUUUUUUCCUUUUUUUGUAUGGUUAUUGCUUGUUCUUUGUUUUGUGUCAAAUUUAACCUGUUUUCUCUUAGCAAAUCACAGCUCAUGCAGAUUUUCAAACACAUUAGCCUUGUUAUACAAAGUGUUCUUUCAUCAUUCUAUUAAAUUUCCAUUUUCAUUCCAGUUAUAGUUAUUUCUGCUGUGCCUUUGUUAAUGAAUAAGUUUAAACAGUGGAUGUUUAGCAUCACUAGCCUUCCCCUUCCAUCUCCCUUAAUCAGGACCUUGGUAUAAUUUAUCAGGUAUUUUUUAAGGUUCUAAUUUACUUAUAUAUAUUGUUUCUGUAUUCUUUUGUUUCUUUUCUUAAUAAAUUCUUAAA